AAAGGCUUAAUGGGUGAGUACGUUGGGCGUACAAGCUCAUACGCGCACCGUACAAGCCAUGCAGCGUGUACGCUUAGCGUACAGUUGAGUACACCCCACGUACUCAUGCAAUUGGGCUUGGCGUUUUUUGGGCCUCGGUUCGGGCCAUUUUCUUCGACUUUGUUAUUUUGGGCUUUUGGGCCUUUUGGGCCAGCUGGAAUUAAGCUUUUGGAUUAAGGAAUUUUAGUGGUCCUGGCCCAUUGGGCGGUUUGUGACCAAUUUGGAAAAUUGGGCCAUAAGUGGGCCUUUGUGGAUCUUUUAGUUUUGGGCCUUAUUAGUUUAUGGUUUUGGGCCGUAGUUUUGGAUCACGCUAGGCCAGGGGUAAAAAGGUCAUUGCACCCCAAGUAUGGAUUAUUGAUUAUAGUUUGGAACCCAAGUAUUGAUUGGGUGUUAUUUUGUACUGAUAGCUCGGGGAGUCGUCAGGGAAACAGCUAGGGAUUUCUUUCUGUGAGAUUCAGCAUUUGAGGUGAGUUUCCUCACUAGGUUUAGCGGGUCAAAGGCACCACUAACGGCCCUUCUUGUUUAUGUUAGGAUGCUAAGAGUCUGCAUGACCCUUGCAUGUGUUAUGUACUGACGUGUAUACCGUGCGGGGCUCAAUGUCGGGUGAGGCCCGAGGACUGGAACAUAUGCUAGUGUUAUGAUCAUUAGAUGUGUUAACAUGAUUAUAUGAUAUUGACUUUAUGUGUAUAGCAGACGAGGCCCAGUAACAGGCGAGGCCUGAGAAUAACAUAUCUAUAAACCGAUCGGGGAACGAUGUCGGGUGUGGCCCGAUGUCGUGCGGGGGCCUAGUACUUCUGUGGCAAAGGGAAGAGAACGGAUUGAAUGCAUCGCACACACGAUUGGGAUUCCGCAUAUCAUAUUUUACUCUGAUUUUUAUGACAUUUGAUACAUUGGUUAUUUUGAGAUGUAUGGAUAAUAUUUGGAAAUACUAUUUUACCUACUUUAAAAAUGAAAUUUUUGGGACCAUAUUUUGGAAUGUUACAUUUUGAUUUCCUUUUAA